CCUACGGGAGGCAGCAGUGAGGAAUAUUGGUCAAUGGACGAGAGUCUGAACCAGCCAAGUAGCGUGAAGGAUGACUGCCCUAUGGGUUGUAAACUUCUUUUAUAUGGGAAUAAAAUGUUCCACGUGUGGGAUUUUGUAUGUACCAUAUGAAUAAGGAUCGGCUAACUCCGUGCCAGCAGCCGCGGUAAUACGGAGGUUCCGAGCGUUAUCCGGAUUUAUUGGGUUUAAAGGGAGCGUAGGUGGAUUGUUAAGUCAGUUGUGAAAGUGUGCGGCUCAACCGUAAAAUUGCAGUUGAAACUGGCAGUCUUGAGUACAGUAGAGGUGGGCGGAAUUCGUGGUGUAGCGGUGAAAUGCUUAGAUAUCACGAAGAACUCCGAUUGCGAAGGCAGUUCACUGGACUGCAACUGACACUGAGGCUCGAAAGUGUGGGUAUCAAACAGGAUUAGAUACCCCUGUAGUC
rnacentral:rRNA from 1 species